UACAGAGGUCUCAAGCGUUGUUCGGAUUCAUUGGGCGUAAAGGGUGCGUAGGCGGCGCGGUAAGUCGGGUGUGAAAUCUUGGAGCUUAACUCCGAAACUGCAUUCGAUACUGCCGUGCUUGAGGACUGGAGAGGAGACUGGAAUUUACGGUGUAGCGGUGAAAUGCGUAGAUAUCGUAAGGAAGACCAGUGGCGAAGGCGGGUCUCUGGACAGUGACUGACGCUGAGACGCGAAAGCGUGGGGAUCAAACAGG
rnacentral:rRNA from 1 species